ensembl:lncRNA
UGAGACUUAAAUCAAUUUUAUCUUUGACUAAACACGAGCUGCUGCACUGAGCUCCAUGAGCCAACUACGCUAACAGGCUAACAGGCUAACAGGCUAACACCAGCUAGCGUGCUAGCUAACCGACCAAACUCUUAGCAGCGUAGAAGGCUCUAAAACAGCCGAUUUUCGGAUUGAAGGUGUCGGCCUCAGACUGAGGGGGCAACGGGAGGAACCCACUCACUGAUAAAAUGUCCUGACUGCGCCAGGAAAAGUGGGUUUUAUCCGUUUUCUUCUGUUUCGUGUGUGUGCGGCGCGUCCGCUGCUUUUCCUGCAACCACGCGACACUUCGUGACGUCACACGCAGAGGACGGAAGUCUGUAGCUUCACUGAGAGCUGACACUGAGGGGUAGUUGUGUAGAAACUGGGUGUGAUCCUCUGUGUGUGAGAGCAGCUUCAGCUCAGUGAUCUCCUGCUCCAGCUUCUCCUGAAGCUCUUUGACUGGACCUCAGUGUGGUAGUAUGACCUCAGGGUCAGCUGUCUUUAGCUGACUGCUCAGUUUCUUUGACGUCUGAUGCCAGCGUUAGAAACCACGUGACCCCGGUCUGAUCUCACAGCUCGUCCUUGUUUGGCCUCAGCUGCAUACCUGGGGAAAUUAUUAUCCUUUUUUUAUGUCAGUUAUUUUGUGUUUGAUAAACACCUGAAGAAAAAGGUCAACAAACAUCUGGUGUCCAACGACAGGAAAGACUUUGUGUCUGUGAUGGUUGAUCCUGAGGCAUCAACACACUCCAACAUUCAGACUCACAUGUGCAGCCAGCAGAGGGCAGCAGAGUCAAAGCUGUUCAGGGAUGUUCCUCUGUGAGCCCCAGGGGCUGAUGGGAGGUUGGAGGAGGCGUUAGAAACCACGUGACCCCCGUCUGAUCUCACAGCUCGUCCUUGUUUGGCCUCAGCUGCAUCAGAGCUCCACUUCUCCUCAGGUUCCCCAGAGGAAACACCGCUGCACAAAAUGCUUCUCCUCCCAGCUGCUGCUCUGUGCUGUCUGUGUUCAGCCAUGGUUGCCACGGCAGCAGAGGAGCUGAUUCAGGACCAGUUAUCAUUGACCAGGAGAGUUGGUCAGUCAGCCUCUUUCACCUGUGAACAAACUCAGAGGUGUAGUAGUUAUGUUUACUGGUACCAGAAGAAGGAAAUAUUCACUCUGAUUCUGAAUAUUAAUCAGAGGAGCGGUGCUGUAAAUAAAGGUUUUAAUCAUCCUCAGGAAGAUGAUUUCUCAGCUGUUAAUAUCCAGAACGGCUGUGAGUUGAAGAUCGACAAAGUUAAACUCUCUCAUUCAGCCUCCUACUACUGCAGCUGCUGGAAGGGUGAUCCCCACAGUGAGAAAAGAUCCCUGCAGCCUGAACAAAAACCUUCAGAUGAACUGAUGUCAAACAGUGUUAGUGACAGGAAGACAGCAGGAAACCACAGCCCAGGGUCACAGAUUUCACCUCCAGCUCAGACUCUUGUUCUGGACUCUUCUCUGAUAUUGAUUCAUAUUUGGAUGAGAUAUUUCAGCAGCUUUCCUGUUGGUCCACACAGUGAGGACGAAGAAGACACACAGGAGCACAAUAAGAAAACAAGAGGAGGAACUGAAUGA